CGCAGAGCGAUCAUGCGCGCUCUUCCAGCUCCUCGACAGCCUGCUCCCGCGGCCUGCGCCGCUCACCUAGCCUUCUGUUCGUUGCGUAACGCUGCAGAGUCAUGCGAUAGGAUAGCACCGUCGCCGUGGCGCGAUCGACGAACACGUACGAACACGAACGAACGAACGAACGAACGAGGAGGAAACCGAACCGAGCGAGACGGGAAUAGAAAGAAAGAAAAAGAAGAACAAAGAGAGCGAGAGAGAACCAGGGCCGGGAGGUGGUGUGGGAGGGGGGUGAUGUCUUUUUUGGAGGGGGACGAAGAGAGCGUGGAGAGCUUAGAGCGUAGAGAAGAGGCGGUUCAGCCUUGAAACGCGCCGCGAGCGGCUUCGUCGCGAGUUCCGUGCACGAACGUCGGCUCGCGGGAUCGUGUCGAGUCCGUUCCUUUUUUUUUUCCAACCUUUUUUUUUUUCCCCACGUUGUUCGCGCCACUCGGUACCGUUACUACUCUCACCCGUCCUUAUCACCGGAUUCUUCUCCGAUCGACACCUUCGACGGCAACAUAAAUACGUACAUACGUUGAUAGGUUAUGUUCAUUCGGAAGAACUUGGAACACGUUAGAAAAAAAAGCGACAAAGACAAACGUGAAUGAAGUUUCCGCGAGAACCGAGAUGAUAAAGUUAUCGCGUUGGAGGGUCGUGAGUCGUCGGUAAAUUUUUAAAUGAAUCAUCGUGAAUGCGUUGAAACGGCGAUUAGUUGCCAUUUAAACGAUUGCUAUUAUUAGUGGCAGGUGGCGACUGAAGAUGGAGCUUCGGUGCCGGUUUUAGAGCAAGCAGGACGGAAGAGAACACGCAGAGGGAAGUUACUCCUGUUGGGAAGGAUGCUUUCGACCCAGUUUCACCCUUCCAUGGUGGUAGUACCAGCACGAGCAAUCGAUAAUACGUCUCAGAAGUACCGAUAUCGUGCUCUAUCAUUGUAAAAACUGUCGCUCUAGCGAAAACUACUGGCAAUUACACGUGAAUAAAAUGACUUCGUCUUUCUCUCCCAACUUGUCCGUUUCUGUUUCUUCUUACCGUGAUUAGUUCUCUCUCUUUUUCUUGUCAAUACUAUUCAUUCAUCACACUUCGUCAUAACUUAGGGAUCGAACGAUUUGUAACUUUCUCGUGUUAACAAAAAAAUAAGAGUAAAAAAUUUGUUACUUUUAUUUUGAAUGCUAUGCGCUAUUUUUUUUUUUACAUAAAAACAAUUACUCGUUACAUUACUUCUUAGGCAGAGGUGGCCCAAGGCGGUCACGUAUUCGUCACGAAUAAUCAUUAGGACAGGUAUAACCAAAAUAAUCGCAAUUUUACGAAUCGUAGCAUAGUAUUACCUAGCAAAUAAAUCGCGACGUAAAAACAUAAAUCAGAAGACGGUUUGUUGAGAAGUCAUUGACACUGGCAAAUUUAUUUCAAAGUUCUUCAGAUGUUGAAUUACCGUAAAUCUACACAAAUGUACUAUUAUCGUUUAUAAAAGGUCAAGGUUUGGUAUCUGAAUUCAUUCUAAUGUCAACGAUACUUUUUAUACGGCAUACUUGUUGCUCUUCCGAUUGCACUCGGAAUAAAAAUUAAGAAACAUUGAACUCCGAUAUAAAUUGUGCGUAACAGGAACAAUUAUUCAUUAUGGAGACUGUGCAAUGUUGAUAAUACACACAGCAGGUGGACGAGAUCAUACGUACAUCGAAUUCAACUGAACGUUGCCUGUUUGUCGAAAAUCACUUGUUUAAAUUUCUCUCUCAAGUAGAACUCGUUGAAAAUUAUAAACCGCAUUGAAUGAUUACUUUGAAUAAAUAUAAGAAAUUCAAGCAAGUUAUUCGUUCAAGCAUUACCUGUAUUUUUCUAUGCGAAACUAAUAUCAAAGGAUCGAGUAAAAAUUUCACAAAAGAAAUCGAUCUUACGAAUCGCAUAUCCAUCCAACAUUCUCACAACAUCCACAUUCUUUCAAAUUAUAUUUUUUAAUUAUUUCUUUUUUUUUCUUUUUUCUCUCUUUUUUUUUAUUCUAUAGACGUACAUCGGAAUUUACUACAGUCGACGUUUUUCACUACCUCACACAUUUCUUCAAUCUUAAACGUACACGUUAUCGUAACUAAAGCAAUAACAAUUUUAAUAUUUACAUGUCUAUCUCAUUAAUUAAUUAUAUAUAUAAUACAACUUGCAACUCUGCUACCAGCAAUUUCUAGCAAUAACAUCUUGGUGCAAAUAAUCCGACUCUUCUCUCUCUGUAUUUCAAUCUUCAUUUACGUGCCGAUCCGAACGACAAUAUCGUUAUAAAUUCGGAAAAUAUGACCAUAAGAACAUCCUUCCAGCAUUUAUUCGUUAUUAUGUAAUGAGUCACGCGUCAGAGACUUUGAGAAUCAAAGAAACUUUCGAAUAAAAGUAUCAAUGACAGCUGCGUAUUUCAUAUUAAUAAUACAAACCUUCGUCAACAUACAUACUAUGUCUGUGUCAUUGUACUUUAUACAAUGAAGAAGCCAAUCUUGUACACAAUCCCAUUCCAAUUCAGGUAAUAUACACAUAUUACCAAAAAGAUAAACAAAAAAUAUAGACAUCUGACUUUACGAGAAUCAUAAUAUAUUAUAUGUAUAAAUAAGGUGAAAGAUGUGGUUGUAUAACGUAGAAAAUGAAUGUAAUUAUUUCUUGUGACUCGUACGACGGUAUAACAAUCCACAAUUUUCUUUGUUGCGACAUCAAAUAUGUAAUUGAACGUAUAUGUAUGAUAAUUAUCCUGUUACCCGAGCUUGACGACGUAUCAUAGAAAACGGUGAAUACCAAAACAUAUGGAAUUUGUAUGAAAAUCCUAUUUUCAUGAAAUAGAUUACCGAUUAUCUGUUUUAAAUGUUACGUUUUUAUAUA